rnacentral:rRNA from 1 species
CAGGACGAACGCUGGCGGCGUGCUUAACACAUGCAAGUCGAACGAUGAAGCCCUUCGGGGUGGAUUAGUGGCGAACGGGUGAGUAACACGUGGGCAAUCUGCCCUGCACUCUGGGACAAGCCCUGGAAACGGGGUCUAAUACCGGAUAUUGACCAUCUUGGGCAUCCUUGAUGGUGGAAAGCUCCGGCGGUGCAGGAUGAGCCCGCGGCCUAUCAGCUUGUUGGUGAGGUAAUGGCUCACCAAGGCGACGACGGGUAGCCGGCCUGAGAGGGCGACCGGCCACACUGGGACUGAGACACGGCCCAGACUCCUACGGGAGGCAGCAGUGGGGAAUAUUGCACAAUGGGCGAAAGCCUGAUGCAGCGACGCCGCGUGAGGGAUGACGGCCUUCGGGUUGUAAACCUCUUUCAGCAGGGAAGAAGCGAAAGUGACGGUACCUGCAGAAGAAGCGCCGGCUAACUACGUGCCAGCAGCCGCGGUAAUACGUAGGGCGCGAGCGUUGUCCGGAAUUAUUGGGCGUAAAGAGCUCGUAGGCGGCUUGUCGCGUCGGUUGUGAAAGCCCGGGGCUUAACCCCGGGUCUGCAGUCGAUACGGGCAGGCUAGAGUUCGGUAGGGGAGAUCGGAAUUCCUGGUGUAGCGGUGAAAUGCGCAGAUAUCAGGAGGAACACCGGUGGCGAAGGCGGAUCUCUGGGCCGAUACUGACGCUGAGGAGCGAAAGCGUGGGGAGCGAACAGGAUUAGAUACCCUGGUAGUCCACGCCGUAAACGGUGGGCACUAGGUGUGGGCAACAUUCCACGUUGUCCGUGCCGCAGCUAACGCAUUAA